UGGCCGCGGUAUUUUGACCGUGCAAAGGUAGCAUAAUAAUUAGGUUAUUUAUUGUGAUCUUGAAUGAAAGGUUAUACGUAAAAAUAACUAUCUUAUUUUAAUUUUUGAAUUUAAAUUAUAGGUAAAAAUGCUUAUAAAAUAAUUAGACGAGAAGACCCUAUUAAGCUUUAUAUAUAGUGUUUUGUAUUUUAGUUUUGUUAAGAUUAUUAUAUAUUUUACUGGGGCGGUAGUUAAUAAUUAAGCAUUAUAUUUUUGUAUUCUUAUAAGAUUAUGAGUGAUCCAUAUUUAUUGAUUAUUAGAUUAAGUUACUAUAGGGAUAACAGCACAAUUGAAUUUGAGAGUUCUUAUUGAUAAUUAUGAUUGUGACCUCGAUGUUGAAUUAAAAUUUCUUUUAAAUGCAGGAGUUUAUUAAGAUAGUCUGUUCGACUAUUUAAUUUUUACA
rnacentral:rRNA from 1 species